CCACCACAUAUAAUAUAAUCAUGUUUUUCAUAAUUUCAAUGAAUAAAAGUAUUAAGUGCAAUCAAAUACAAUACACCAAAAUGUAGAGUUAAUCUAGAUGAUUACUAAGAACAUCAUUAGCCUAGUCAAAAAGUUUAUGUCAAUAUACCAAAAGUAUCGAUUACUACUCCAAAAAUAGCUUACUAAAAUUGUACAAAAUAUUCGACCCAUAUUGAAGACAUCUCACAAUCAUGUGAUCUCGUGUUGGCAAGCAUUUGGAUCAGUUUUGUAGCUUGUAACAGGGUCAGUGGAUAUCUGAUUGCUGCAUGCCAUAUGCUUUAUUUUAGUAUGUAAAGUUGAGGAGUCCUGGAACCAAAAAUAAAGAGAAAAAGUAAUUGAUCAGGUUAUAUCUUUUAAAAUAAAUACCAAGUGACAAAUAUCAAUUUCAUUUCACUUGGCCUGGUGUAUAUGGCUAUUGAAUUAGAAAUUUACCUGGUGUUACAGAUUGGAGCCCUGAUGUUAUGCAAGCUAUGCUUCUAUAACGUGCUUUCUCUAAUUUGUUAGUUACCUCAGGAGCUCUUAUAACCGUUGAAAAAUAGCAUAAAUUAAACAAACAUAAAAGAAGUAAUGCAAAAGCAUCUUUGAAACAAGGUAGGUCCAAUGGGAAAUGGCUUGCAGUGGAUUCUCGAGCUUGAUUCUGGUGAAUUGUACUAUUUCCAUCAGCUAUAAACUUUAAGCAAAGUGUGACAAUCCCUUAAAGAUCCAUAUCAAAUAGGAAGCAAUGCUAACAAAUGAGAAACUUACCUCAGUCCCUCUUGACAAACAAGUAAAAGCUUACUUUUAGGUGAAAAUUGGCUCUUAACAGAUUGUACAAAGUCAGGAUUUGGUUUGGUAAAAGGCAGGCGUUGUGUAAGGUCCUCUUUAUUAUGGUUCCUGACCAAAAUUUAUGAGUAAGCAACAAAACAAGCAAAAUAAGACAGAAAAACUGGUAGAAAAGCAAGUCAUUGUCAUGUUUUGGGACAUGGUAGCAAUCUUUUAUGUGAGCUCGCUCAAACUGAGUUCUAUCGCGCACAUCAAGAAUUGCAUAUCCCUCAACUGCUAUAAGUUUCUUUGCUUCUUCAGCAUUCACAUAAUUGAAUUCUAGCUGACAUAAUUUAACAUAAAAGCAUAAGUCUCCCAAUCCAAUCUUAGGAAAUAACGGUUUUGAGUUCAAAUCUUAUAGAUUCUACGCCAUCAAUUGUGUUUACAUCUUUUUGAUACUACUACAACUGUAAUAGGAUAGUAAAACUUAAUUUUGCUGUAUAUGAACUUAUUGAAUUUUUUUAAAUAAAAUAAAAUCGACAUGACAUGAAUAGCCGAAAGGGGAACAUGGUAGCAAUCUUUUAUGUGAGGCGCAAAUUGAGUUCUAUCGCACACAUCAAGAAUUGCAUAUCCCUCAAUUGCUAUGAGUUUCUUUGCUUCUUCAGCAUUCACAUAAUUGAGUUCUAGUUGACAUAAUUUAACAUAAAAGCACGAGUCCCCCAAUCUCAGGAAAUAACGGUUUUGAGUUCAAAUCUUAUAGAUUCUACGCCAUUAAUUGUGUUUACAUCUUUUUAAUACUACUAUAACUGUAACAGGGUAGUAAAACUUAAUUUUGCUCUAUAUGAACUUAUUGAAUUUUUUUUUUUUUUUAAAUAAAAUAAAAUCGACAAGACAUGAAUAGACGAAAAGGGAAUUCCCUUUAAAAAUUGAUAUUUCAGUUCACAAUCAAACGAAAGCAAGUCAAAAACACAGAAGAAAAACAAGAGGCAGAAUCUAAUGGACAAGAAAGUACAUAAAAUAUUGCUGUCACAAGAUAAUUGAAGAUUUUCUACAACCAAAAAAGGCUUUAUCAAGACUUCAAGCGUUCUGCAUGAAAACGCUAUUUUUCUCCACACAAGAUAUCUUGGUAUCAAACAUUGCAGUGCCAUCUCUGAAUACAUUGCUAUACCUUUCGAGAUUGCUUACCUUACCUUUGAAGAGUCCUUACCUUACUGAAAUAUUUUGAUUUGGGUCAUGAGAGGCGAGCGGCUAAAGUGAGCAGCGCCGGUGGUUAACAGAGAUAGACGAGAGUAAGGCCCCGUUUGGUAGGGAUUUUUUGUCCCAAAAAAUUGUUUUUUUUAUCGUUAUUUUACUAUUCAAGCCGUAAUUUUUGACUUCUUCUCUCAUAUGUGGACCCCACUUUUCUUCUAACGGUCAAAAAAUCAAUUCUCAAAAUCCUUACCAAACGGGCCCUAAGAGCUAAGGCGCCGAGCGAAGUCGUGGAGAGGCAGAGUUGAUGGGGAAAUUUUGGAAAAAUGCCACAUUUUAG
rnacentral:lncRNA from 1 species